AUAAAAUAGUGUGAAAUACGAGACAUUCAAUUAUUGCUCAUUGUAAAAAUACAUGAUUAUAUUAAAACACGUGAUGUCUCGAUAUACAAUACUUCAAACAAGUGUUCAUAUGGCAAUUACAUAUAUAACUUAUUGACCUACGUGGGAAUUAUCUAUGCCAGACCAAUUGAGUUUUCAUGUUUGACGUUCAAUGUUUAAUUAGUGAUACCAACGUUCGACGGUCCUAGACCCAACGGUUCUGUCUGUAUCAAUCCUUCAAUGUUCUGCUACUAAGUGAUACUACAAAAUUGACCUUUGGACCUUGAAGAACAAAACGCGUCCUCCACGUGUCACGAGGAGAAUGUGUACCAAGUUUGGACCUAGCAUAAACAGGUGAAUCUGUAUCAUGGUACAUGUAUGGCGUUGUCCGUCUGGACCUUGUAGGCUUAUAAGGAUGAUAUUUCUGAGCUGGCAAAAUGGUACAAGUAGCUUCUCUUGUUUCGGAAAGUCGUUCUGCAUCAACCGUUAAAGGAUACUACACUGCUUUCAUGCGCUGGAAAAAAUGGGGGAGUGAUAAUUAUAUUCAGGAGAGUUUGCCGGCUAAGCCACUCCACGUAGCUCUGUAUCUAUCUUGCCUGUCACAACAGUCAAAGACACACAGUCCCGUCACGCAAGCUUUUUACGGCAUAAAAUGGGCCCAUUCAGUGAUUGGUGUACAGUCUCCGACGGAUUCCGAUCUUGUUAAGAAUGUGUUUGAAGGUGCCAAAAGACGCACAUCUGUACCAGCAUUCUCUACCCAAAGUUCCGUGCGCUCCUCGCACUACAUCUCUGUCAACGGCUUUUUACAGAAAUCUUGUAAAAGUUUCUAUUAUCCAACAUUUAUGUUUUGGACUAAAUAUUUAGUCAUAUUAUGAUAUGUUUUUAGUGCUAUUAAAUUGAUGCUUGCUGUAAAUUGUUUAAAAUCGCCGUUUUCUGAUCAUAAAUUUGGAACUACUUCCCAAUAUGCGUAUGAAUGUAGGACAUACACGUUGUGGAGAUUUAAAUGUAAAAAUGAAAUCAAACGUAAGAAAGGCUGUAAAAAUAUGACAAAACUUGUAAAAUAAGAGACAAACAGCUGAAUGGUAAAUAUGUACUUAUUAAAGUGUCAGUGGGCUAUGAAAAGAGCCUGAUGUAUCACCUGUUACCCGAACUUUUAAAGGGAAAGGAAACCAAGAAUGAUUGUUUAUACCAUGUGAUUAUAUUGUCACGUGAUUCCAAGCGUUGACAGAGGUGUAUGUGAAGCUUGCGUAACGCGCCCUCUGUUGAGAGAAUGCUGUACCAGUGCACAAGAAGGAGCCGAUAACUCUAGAUCUCAUCUACAAAAUGUACGAGGCUUUAUUGGAGUAGGAAAAUCUUAAUUCUCAGCGAACCAUUUGUGCGUGUUUACUUUCAUAUGCUGGAUUUCUCCGAGUGUCUGAAUUACUUAAUCUUAAGAUUUGUGACAUUACGUUUCAUGAAUCACAUAUGUCAAUUUUCAUCGAAAAUUAAAACAGAUAUUUACAGAGAUGGGAACUGGUUAGUCAUAGCACGUACAGGAUCCAAACUUUGUCCAGUCUUGAAUUUAGAAAAACUAUUUUCAUAUGCCAAUCUUUCUGUUCAGUAUUCUGAAACGUUUUUGUUUAGAAACUUGGUCAAGUGUUCAAAUGUUUUCAAAUUCAGGAAUGACAAUAAGCCUUUGUCUUGCUUUAUCCCCACUUGUUAACAAUAUUAAAGAUUGUGACAUAGUUUGAGGGCAGGCGGUGCAUCCGCUGCAGCAAAUUUUGGUAUUCCAGACGACUAUUCAAAAGACAUGGUCGGUGGAAGUCGUAGACUGCCAAAGAUGGUUAUAUUAAAGACGUUAAAAUAAAGACUUUCGGUUUGUCAAAAUUUGGGUCUUUAACUUUUUUUUCCAUUUUUUAUUCCCGUUCUUUGAUCUUUCGACAUGAGCGCUAACCGCGUCAUCAUCCACUUUAUAUAACGCGUUGUUAGGUGUCAGGAGAAAUAUAAUUCUAUUCGUUUGAAUUGAUGAAUUAGAGUAGAAUUAUUUUCUCCUGAUAUGAGACGCUGUAGAUGGCGCUUUGUCGCGACUUUUUUUGGCGGGUUCAUGGGUUAUAGGCAAGAAUUUGUUCCGACGUGUUGGCGCUCAACCAGUACACACACAUUUUUCGUUUUUGAUAGGACUGUGCAUAGGAUUUUGUAUUAUCACACGAGUGUAUAUUAUGCAUUCUUAGUAAUGUGAUUUUCAUAUGUGUUUAUUAUGCGACUAUGGAUGAUGUCAAAUGAUGGACGAUGUUAUAAGAACUGUGGUGAUAAAGACAUGUCAUUA